GGCAGUAGCUGUGCCAGUUAGUUUAGGACAACUCAACACAAACUUGGGAAGCAAGAAUCUCAACUGAGGAAUCGCGUCCAUCUGAUUGGUCAGUGGCGCGGAGAAGGUGGGUGAGUGAUUGUUUCUGGGUUCCAGUUCUGACUUUCCUCAAGGUUGGAUGCUGAUCUUGCAGUUGUAAGCUUGAAGCCAACCCUUUCAUCCCCAAGUUACUUUUCUUUUUGUUUCUGUUUUCCUCCCUUCCACAGCAACAGGAAACCAAGCUACAAUAGUUAGCCCAGUUUAAUUCUUGAGGUCUACACCUCUGACCUCAACAUUGCUACAAGGCUCUGUCCCCCCAACACUGCCGCCUUACUGAGGCAUUAGACCUCAAAGGCAGUGUAUGUUAGGACAAACAGCAACGGCAUAGAUCAGACUCAACACUCGUGCAGUUAUAAUGAAAAUGAUAAUUCUAGAAAAAAAGUGGGAACAAUUCAUGCGGGGAGGCCGUGGCUGAGCUAUUGGACUGUGCGCGCGCAGAACGCUUGGCCAACAACACUGAACACGUUACUUAAACCAGGCGUUGUGGAACGGUGGCUACAGCAAGGUCUGGAGGAAGAGGGAGCUGGGCUGGAAGCCAAACCCGCUUUCGCUCCCGAAGCAUGAGCCCAGGCAGGAGAAAUCCAGCUUAAGAAGAAAUGUUUACAAAUCUUGUUCCGGUCAGUGGAAAUGAGAGCAACCCCUGGCCUCGUGGUUCUGUCCGCCCUUGGCUGAAGGAAGCAGGAGCCAGACAUGCCUCUCAGCCUGAAGACUGUGGCCUGUGCGCCCUGCUGAGUCAUUAUCUGGACGUCUUAACUGAGAGUGACAAGGCACAAGAAGUACCGCACAACCUCAAGCUUGCCUUUGUGCUGUAGGAAGAAUAAACAGCGUGAAAACGACUUUUCCUUUUUAAAAUAAAAA